rnacentral:rRNA from 1 species
UACGGAGGGUGCGAGCGUUAUCCGGAAUCACUGGGGUUAAAGGGUGCGUAGGCGGUCAGAUAAGUCAGUCGUGAAAUUCCCCGGCUUAACCGGCGGGACUGCGAUUGAUACUGUUUGACUUGAAUCAAGUUGAGGCAGGCGGAAUGUGACAUGUAGCGGUGAAAUGCUUAGAUAUGUCAUAGAACACCGAUUGCGAAGGCAGCUUGCUGGGCUUUGAUUGACGCUGAGGCACGAAAGCGUGGGGAGCAAACAGG